rnacentral:rRNA from 1 species
UAGGGAAUCUUCCACAAUGGACGCAAGUCUGAUGGAGCAACGCCGCGUGAGUGAAGAAGGUUUUUCGGACCGUAAAGCUCUGUUGUUGGUGAAGAAGGAUAGAGGUAGUAACUGGCCUUUAUUUGACGGUAAUCAACCAGAAAGUCACGGCUAACUACGUGCCAGCAGCCGCGGUAAUACGUAGGUGGCAAGCGUUGUCCGGAUUUAUUGGGCGUAAAGCGAGCGCAGGCGGAAGAAUAAGUCUGAUGUGAAAGCCCUCGGCUUAACCGAGGAAUUGCAUCGGAAACUGUUUUC